rnacentral:rRNA from 1 species
GACGAACGCUGGCGGCGUGCUUAACACAUGCAAGUCGAACGGAAAGGCCCUGCUUUUGUGGGGUGCUCGAGUGGCGAACGGGUGAGUAACACGUGAGUAACCUGCCCUUGACUUUGGGAUAACUUCAGGAAACUGGGGCUAAUACCGGAUAGGAGCUCCUGCUGCAUGGUGGGGGUUGGAAAGUUUCGGCGGUUGGGGAUGGACUCGCGGCUUAUCAGCUUGUUGGUGGGGUAGUGGCUUACCAAGGCUUUGACGGGUAGCCGGCCUGAGAGGGUGACCGGCCACAUUGGGACUGAGGUACGGCCCCGACUCCUACGGGAGGCAGCAGUGGGGAAUAUUGCACCAUGGGCGGAAGCCUGAUGGAGCAACGCCGCGUGCGGGAUGAAGGCCUUCGGGUUGUAAAACGCUUUCGCCUGUGACGAAGCGUGAGUGACGGUAAUGGGUAAAGAAGCCACGGGUAACUAAGUG